rnacentral:lncRNA from 1 species
AUCGAGUUGAAAUGGAUUGAACGCCUUGUAGUGACUACUAAUAUACAUAAUUUGGACCAGCAACUUCGUAGGCAGCCAUUAUUAACUAGUACCAUCCUUCAACAAAAAGGCUUAGGUAAUGAAUCACAUGGUAAUGUGCGUAAAGUACAGGAUAAAUCUUUAAAUGAGUUCUCAUUUUCAAGUUUUAAUUAUAAUAUUUGAUUUCCAUGGCACAUCCGAAGCUCUUCGUCUCCGCAUCGUGUCUUUUCAUUUGGAAGGUCGCGCUUCGGCUUGGUACCAAUGGAUGAAGGCGAAUGAUCUUCUUACCAGUUGGAAGGAUUUUCUUCAAAAUCUGAAGUUUCGUUUCGGAGCUUCCCUGUACGAGGACCACCAAGGCAAUCUAUCAAAACUUACUCAGAAAUCAAGUGUGGCAGAAUUUCAAACUAAGUUUGAGAACCUCAUGAAUAAAGUCACAGGUAUUUCCGAGCCUCUCCUUAUCUCAUUUUUUAUCACGGGGUUGCGAGUGGAUAUUCGUCGCGAGCUGUUGCUGUCACGGCCUUCCUCGUUGAUGGAGGCAUUUGCACUAGCUCGUAUGUUUGAAGCACGUGGAGAUGAGAGUAAAGUUACGUCCAGACCUUGGUCUAAGUGGACCCACAAAACCACCACACCAUCCUUUCACCCUACUACAACCAAUCACAGUCCUGCAAGUGCCCCUGCCAUCAACCCACCUCAACCUGCCCCGUCCACUUUACCUCCACUUUUACCAACGCCAUCUCUACCUAUUAAGCGUCUUUCUCCUCAAGAACUUCGUGAAAAAAGGGAGAAAGGACUCUGCUACAAUUGCGACCAGAAGUGGAGCAACUCUCAUAGAUGCCGUAGUAAGUUUCUGCUUCUAUUAGGAACAGAGGAUGUUGACGAGGCGAUGGGUCCACCAAUUAAUUCUGAGAUCUCCGAUGUUGUUGAGGAAACUAUUAUAACUGGUGAUAUCUCCAGUUUAAAUGCAUUAGCGGGCCAAAAUACUCCUCGUUCUCUACGACUCCUUGGUGAAAUUAAUCAACAGCCCGUGCAAGUACUUAUCGAUAGUGGUAGCACUCAUAAUUUUAUUAAACCCGCUGUGGCUGAAGUUUUGGGGUUAGCAGUACAAGACACUACCACGUUCCGGGUAUAUAUCGGUAAUGGUGAUUCUUUAGUUUGUCGAUAUGUUUGUUCCCAAGUCGCCUUAUCUAUGCAAGGCCAUGUUUUCUACAUCGACCUUUAUGUUCUUCCUAUUGAGGGACCGGAUAUUGUCCUCGGAAUUCAAUGGUUACAGCUACUUGGCAAAGUCUCUCAUGACUAUGCGGCAUUGUCAAUGGAAUUUUUCUAUAAUGGCUCUCAUGUCUUCCUGCGAGGUGAUCUCUCCUUGUCUCCAAGACCGAUUUCUUUUCAUCAAUUACAAGCCCUCAUGUCCCAUGAUCAAAUCCACGGCCUCUUUGAAUUUUUCCAGUUGCAUACUACCACAGACGCGCAGGAUACCCUCUCUGUUCCAACCACUGCUGCUAAGUUUGACUUCCCACCCGAUUUGCCAUCCCCUGUACUUGCCCUUCUUCAUCAAUAUGAGCAAUUAUUUCACACUCCAUCUUCCCUACCUCCUCAUAGACUUAUUGACCAUCACAUUCAUCUUCUCCCAAAUACUAAACCUGUCAAUGUUCGCCCAUACCGUUAUCCUCACUUCCAAAAAGCCGAAAUGGAGAGACUAAUUACAGAAAUGCUUGAUCAAGGCAUUAUUCGCCCAAGUCAGAGCCCAUUCUCUUCACCUGUGUUGCUGGUUAAAAAGAAAGAUGGCUCCUAUCGUUUUUGUGUAGAUUACCGAGCCUUGAACGCGGUAACAAUUAAAGACAAAUUUCCGAUACCAACUAUUGAUGAGUUAUUAGACGAGCUUGGUGGUGCUUGUAUUUUCAGUAAGCUGGAUUUGCGAGCGGGGUACCAUCAAAUACGAGUAUGUGACAGAGAUAUUUAAAAAACAGCCUUUCGGACUCAUGAUGGGCAUUUUGAGUUCCUUGUUAUGCCUUUUGGACUCUCUAAUGCCCCUUCCACAUUUCAAGCGACAAUGAAUAGGCUCUUUGCUCCUUAUCUCCGUAAGUUUGUGAUCGUUUUCUUUGACGAUAUCUUAGUGUACAGCACUUCUUUAGAAGACCAUUUUGAGCAUUUACAUAGAGUAUUUGAUUGUCUUCAUACUAAUCAUUUUUUUGUGAAGCUCUCAAAGUGUUUUUUUUGCCAAGAUAACAUUGAAUAUCUCGGCCAUAUUGUUUCCUCUUCUGGAGUUAAGGCUGAUCCUCACAAGUUGGUGGUCAUGUCUAAUUGGCCUACGCCGUCUACCACAAAACAAUUGCGAGGAUUCUUGGGUCUCACCGGCUACUAUCGUCGCUUUAUUAAAGGAUAUGCUUCCAUUGCUGCCCCUCUCACAGAUUUAUUGCGGAAGGAUUGUUUCCAUUGGUCCUCCGCAGCUGACACGGCCUUUGCUGCCUUAAAACAAGCCAUGAGUGCAGCACCAGUCCUUCGCUUGCCAGAUUUUCAAUUGGAUUUUGUUAUUGAGACGGAUGCCUCGAAUGUUGGUAUUGGAGCCGUACUGAUGCAAGCUGAUCAUCCUAUUGCUUAUUUUAGCCGAAAAUUGGGUCCUCGCAUGCUUGUCGCUUCUACUUAUAUCAAAGAACUUCAUGCCAUUGCCGAAGCAGUACAUAAGUGGAGACAAUACUUGUUAGGCCAUUUCUUUAUUAUCCGAACUGACCAGAAAAGUAUUCGAGAGCUCCUUCAGCAGGUUAUCCAAACUCCAGAGCAACAAUUUUAUGUUCGUAAAUUACUGGGGUAUCAUUUCAGGGUUGAAUAUAAGCCAGGUCGAACUAAUAGUGCAGCUGAUGCCUUAUCCAGAGUACAUGAAGUUGAUGUCCCUGAAUUAUAUGACCAUUAUCCUGCUACUAUGUUACUUGCUAGCUGCCCUAUUCCUGAAUUCCUCUCUAUUCUUCGUGCAGAAAAUCAGUCCUUACCGGAUCUCUUAGCUCUCCAUCAGAAGUAUUCCUCUGGUUCUGUAAUGUAUCCAUAUUCGGUCUCGGAUGGAAUCCUACGGUUCAAAAACAGGUUCUUCAUCAGCUCUCACUCUGUUUUGAAGCCUUCUUUAUUACAAGAAUUUCAUGCCACACCAGUCGCAGGUCAUGCCGGCGUCAAGCGGACAUUAGUUCGUCUAUCCACUCUCUUUUAUUGGCCAAAUAUGCGCAAGGAUGUGGAGUUAUUUCUUGCCUCUUGUUUAUUGUGUCAGCAAACAAAAUACUCUACUCAGGCACCAGCUGGACUCCUUCAACCCUUGCCUAUACUUUCACUAGUUUGGGAGGAAGUUACCAUGGAUUUCAUUACAGGUUUACCAUUUUCCCAUGGGUUCACUGUUAUCUUAGUUGUUGUUGACCGAUUGACAAAAUCAGCUCAUUUUGGUGCUCUACCCACACACUUUACAGCAAGCAAAACAGCCGUUUUAUUCACUGAUAUGGUUGUUAAGCACCAUGGUUUUCCCCGUACCAUAAUUUCAGAUCGUGACUCUAUCUUUCUUAGUAGCUUUUGGAAGAAACUCUUUGAGUUAAGUGGUACCACAUUGAAGCAUAGUACAGCAUAUCAUCCUCAAACGGAUGGCCAGUCAGAGGUUGUUAAUCGAGGACUCGAGCAGUAUUUGCGAGUAUUCACACAAGCGAAACCGACAUUGUGGUUCGAUUAUUUAGGCUGGGCUGAGUUUUCUUACAACACUAGCUUUCAUACAAGCAUCCAAAUGUCUCCUUUUAAGGCCUUGUAUGGUCGUGAGCCACCUGUAAUCCCUGCCUAUACCGGGAGCUCUACUUCAAUCCAAGCACUUGAUGAAUUGCUGCUGGAACGUGAUGCCCUUCUAACAGCCUUGAAAACCAACUUGCGAGCAGCUCAACAUAGAAUGCAGCAAAAGGCUAAUGCUCAUCGCCGUGAGCUAGAGCUUCAGGUCGGGGAUCAAGUUUUGGUUAAGUUGCAGCCUUAUCGGCAAAUAUCAGUUGCAAACAGAUUAUCCAACAAGCUAGCGAAGCGAUAUUAUGGUCCUUUUCGAGUAACGGAGCGUAUUGGCGCUGUGGCCUAUCGCUUGGAUUUACCUCCUGACUCUAAGAUUCAUCCAGUCUUUCACAUCUCACUUCUUAAACCGUUUCAUGGUCAGGAUGCCUCACAAGUUCAUUCACUACCUAGCGAGUCUUACAAUAACCAGCCUAUGUCUAUUCCCAUUGCUAUUUGUGCUCAACGUCAAGUGUUGGUUCAUGGCAUCCCACAAUCCCAAAUUUUAGUGCAGUGGCAGGAUUGUGCUCCUGAAAAUGCAACGUGGGAAGCUCUUUCUGAAUUCACUAAGCAGUACCCGAAUUUUCACCUUGAGGACAAGGUGAUUCCUCAAGGAGUGGAGGGUGAUACAACCCCAAUAUUACAGUUAGACAAGCCCAACUCAGCUAGCUCUAUCAAUAGCGAGGAAAAGGCCCAGGCAAACUCAAGUGAGGCUAUCCAAAACCGACCCCAAGAUAACAUCAAGCCAAGUCGCGUAAGGAAGCCUCCCAAAUGGUUCAAGGAUUACACACACUGAGCAUAUAUGAGCAGAGGAUUCGGUUUCUAACGGCUUUAGCUAUUUAGAGAAUAAUUCUUUGUUAUAGAGAGAGGUUGUUAUUUAGUUUUGACAGCUGUGAGCAUAUUCUUGCUGCUAUAAGUAUUUCCAUGGUUGUAUUUGAUGGGAUAUAUAUAUAAAAUUCUGGACUCAGUUUCUUCUUCUUCUCUGAAAUUUUCUCUCUAUUCUCUCUUGCCAUUCACUCGUUUCUUUAAAAUUCUGGGAGCUUGCACUUGCUUGAAAAGUGUGGAAACCUUGCUGUUCGGUGUGCUCACCAGCGGCAUAACAUACAGACCACAGAAUGAUGCUCAAAUCAAUGAAUCACAAAGAAAUAACCAGACUAGAGACUUCUGUUGGAUGAGAUUUUAUGUUCUAUUACCGUGAUGAUAUUAUACAUGCCAUUGAAUGGAUUCUACGUAAAGAUUGGCUCGUCUAGAAGCAAAUUUUUGGUAAAACCCAGCCGGACCCAACCAGAAAUAUUUGAACUGGGUCGGGUUGAAUUUUCAAAGAGGUUGUGUUGGUUCUUUCUCCUCAACCUGCCCUCAAUCGAGUUGAAAUGGAUUGAACGCCUUGUAGUGACUACUAAUAUACAUAAUUUGGACCAGCAACUUCGUAGGCAGCCAUUAUUAACUAGUACCAUCCUUCAACAAAAAGGCUUAGGUAAUGAAUCACAUGGUAAUGUGCGUAAAGUACAGGAUAAAUCUUUAAAUGAGUUCUCAUUUUCAAGUUUUAAUUAUAAUAUUUGUAAUGACAAGUUAUAGUAUUUACAGAGACUGGCAAAUUUUUCUUGUUUCAUCCC